rnacentral:rRNA from 1 species
AUUGAACGCUGGCGGCAGGCUUAACACAUGCAAGUCGAGCGGAGAGAGGUAGCUUGCUACUGAUCUUAGCGGCGGACGGGUGAGUAAUGCUUAGGAAUCUGCCUAUUAGUGGGGGACAACAUUUCGAAAGGAAUGCUAAUACCGCAUACGUCCUACGGGAGAAAGCAGGGGAUCUUCGAUCCUUGAGCUAAUAGAUGAGCCUCAGUCGGAUUAGCUAGUUGGUGGGGUAAAGGCCUACCAAGGCGACGAUCUGUAGCGGGUCUGAGAGGAUGAUCCGCCACACUGGGACUGAGACACGGCCCAGACUCCUACGGGAGGCAGCAGUGGGGAAUAUUGGACAAUGGGCGCAAGCCUGAUCCAGCCAUGCCGCGUGUGUGAAGAAGGCCUUAUGGUUGUAAAGCACUUUAAGCGAGGAGGAGGCUACUUUAGUUAAUACCUAGAGAUAGUGGACGUUACUCGCAGAAUAAGCACCGGCUAACUCUGUGCCAGCAGCCGCGGUAA